rnacentral:rRNA from 1 species
AGAGUUUGAUCCUGGCUCAGGACGAACGCUGGCGGCGUGCUUAACACAUGCAAGUCGAGCGAUGAAGCUCCUUCGGGAGUGGAUUAGCGGCGGACGGGUGAGUAACACGUGGGUAACCUGCCUCAUAGAGGGGAAUAGCCUUUCGAAAGGAAGAUUAAUACCGCAUAAGAUUGUAGUACCGCAUGGUACAGCAAUUAAAGGAGUGAUCCGCUAUGAGAUGGACCCGCGUCGCAUUAGCUAGUUGGUGAGGUAACUGCUCACCAAGGCGACGAUGCGUAGCCGACCUGAGAGGGUGAUCGGCCACAUUGGGGCUGAGACACGGCCCAGACUCCUACGGGAGGCAGCAGUGGGGAAUAUUGCACAAUGGGGGAAACCCUGAUGCAGCAACGCCGCGUGAGUGAUGACGGUCUUCGGAUUGUAAAGCUCUGUCUUUAGGGACGAUAAUGACGGUACCUAAGGAGGAAGCCACGGCUAACUACGUGCCAGCAGCCGCGGUAAUACGUAGGUGGCAAGCGUUGUCCGGAUU